UACGUAGGGUGCAAGCGUUGUCCGGAAUUAUUGGGCGUAAAGAGCUCGUAGGCGGUCUGUCGCGUCUGCUGUGAAAACUCGGGGCUUAACCCCGGGCCUGCAGUGGGUACGGGCAGACUAGAGUGCGGUAGGGGAGACUGGAAUUCCCGGUGUAGCGGUGAAAUGCGCAGAUAUCAGGAGGAACACCGGUGGCGAAGGCGGGUCUCUGGGCCGUAACUGACGCUGAGGAGCGAAAGCAUGGGGAGCGAACAGG
rnacentral:rRNA from 1 species